CUAGCUGGUCUGAGAGGAUGACCAGCCACACUGGAACUGAGACACGGUCCAGACUCCUACGGGAGGCAGCAGUGGGGAAUAUUGCACAAUGGGCGCAAGCCUGAUGCAGCCAUGCCGCGUGUAUGAAGAAGGCCUUCGGGUUGUAAAGUACUUUCAGCGGGGAGGAAGGGAGUAAAGUUAAUACCUUUGCUCAUUGACGUUACCCGCAGAAGAAGCACCGGCUAACUCCGUGCCAGCAGCCGCGGUAAUACGGAGGGUGCAAGCGUUAAUCGGAAUUACUGGGCGUAAAGCGCACGCAGGCGGUUUGUUAAGUCAGAUGUGAAAUCCCCGGGCUC
rnacentral:rRNA from 1 species